GGUCUGUAUGCUCCCCUAGAGUUUUGAGCAGCUGGGCAAUGAAGAGGUGAGCUACAACUCCCAGUGCACACCCUGCGAGGGGGACAAGGGAACUUUUCCUCUUUUAGAAACACCAAAGCACAAUCAACCCAUCAAACGAAAAAAACAACAACAGCCUAAACGACAAGGUUGAUGUGGAGGAGAAAAAUACGGUCUCGCUCUACCACCCAGCCUAGGAGUGCAGUAGAGUGACUACAGUUCACAGCAGACUCAACCUUCCAGGCUCAAGCAAUCCUCUCACCUCAGCCUCCCAAGUACAUGGGACUACAGGCACACUCCACCAUUCCCAGCUAAUUUUUGUAUUUUUUGUAGAGACAUGGUUUUGACAUAUUGUCCAGGCUGGUCUUUUACUGUCAAAUUGCUAUAUUUUAUUGCUUUUGUUUUUGAAUAUUUUUGAUCCAUGAUUGAGUCCAUGAACAUGGAACCUGUGGACAUGGAGGCCCAACAAUAGUACUUAAUGUCUUUCUAACACAGCUACCUUAUGAACUCUGGAAAAAAUUGUAUGCCAGCCAAAGCAGUGGAACAACCAUAUUCUACUCACUGGAUUGUCCUCAACUGUUCAACAAUACCUCCCAAACUUGUUCCUGAUUUCCUCCCAACAUGCAAUGACUCCAUUCUCAUUGUGCUCUUAUCUGUUUCACUUAGUUGGAUUAUUUCUGUUCAAAAAUAUGUUUGAUUUUUAAAAAUCAGGCUUUCACAGCUUUUAAAAGUUGUAUAAACCACUGUAUUUGUUUGAUAGAUGUGGGUGAAUUUGGCUUCCUACAAAGCAAUAACAAAUCGUCCACAUAGGAAAGUUACCAUUUCUGCAGAUGGAAAAAUGUGUACCUUGAUUCUCAUAUCAUUGUUUUCAUUUUGCAAGAUAUGAAUUUCUUGAAUAGUGGUAUCACCUACAAUUACUUAAAA
rnacentral:lncRNA from 1 species